UGUGGCCACACGAGGAAGGAUCGAGUCCGGAAUGAUGAUAUACGAGAUAGAGUUGGGGUAGCACCAAUUGAGGAGAAGCUUUUCCAACAUCGUUUGAGAUGGUUUGGGCAUAUUCAGCGCAGGCCUCCAGAAGCUCCAGUGCAUAGCGGACGGCUAAAGCGUGCGGAGAAUGUCAAGAGAGGGCGGGGUCGACCGAUUUUGACAUGGGAGGAGUCCGUUAAGAGAGACCUGAAGGAUUGGAGUAUCGACAAAGAGCUAGCUAUGGACAGGGGUGCGUGGAAGCUUUCUAUCCAUGUGCCAGAGCCAUGA
rnacentral:rRNA from 1 species